AUGUUGCUCAUAUCGUGUGUAUGGUGUCUCGCAUUGCUAUGCCAUUUGAUUAGUUUAGACAUGCUUUGUGUGAAUGCCACCUGUUCAGUGUAUAAUUACCAUAUAUGUGAAUUAUGCAUUGCCAUCUCGUUGCAAGACAUUAUAUAUGUGAAUUAUACAAUGCUAUCUUGUUGCAAAGGCAUUAUAUAUGUGAAUUAUGCAAUUCCAUGCUGUUUAGCCAAUCAUCAUGUAUGUGAAUUAAAUCAUGCUAUCAUUUUUUUGUAUUACGUGUUCCAUUUGUCAACAACGUUUGUACAUUCAACUACUCUUCCUGUGCAUCAGCCAUUUGAAGCGGUGAUGGAAGUAUUUGGAGUGAAAACAAGGUAUUCAGAGCAGACAAUGCUACCUGCUAAAGCAGACAUCUUGCUGGCUACAGAGAGCUCCUCAUAG
rnacentral:rRNA from 1 species